rnacentral:rRNA from 1 species
UACGUAGGGGGCGAGCGUUGUCCGGAAUCAUUGGGCGUAAAGCGCGCGUAGGCGGACAGUUUAGUCAGAGGUGAAAGCCCAGGGCUCAACCUUGGAAUUGCCUUUGAUACUGACUGUCUUGAGUUCGGGAGAGGUGAGUGGAAUGCCGAGUGUAGAGGUGAAAUUCGUAGAUAUUCGGCGGAACACCAGUGGCGAAGGCGACUCACUGGCCCGAUACUGACGCUGAGGCGCGAAAGCGUGGGGAGCAAACAGG